rnacentral:tRNA from 1 species
GGCAUGGUAGUCGAGUGGGUAAAGCGCUUAUAGAUAUUUACUCGGGGCUGAAUAUCGAUGGUUCGAAUCCAUCCCGGAGCAACA